UUGUAUUCUUUUGGAAAACCAAAGAUAAAAUCUGUGGUUCCAGAGCUACUUUUCUUGGGUAUAACUUCUCAGAGCACUUGUGAAGCAAAAAAGCACAACGCCAUGUUGGGACACAUCCCCAUUAUGCAUUUCUUCAUCUGUUCUUUCCACACAACUGUCUCCAUCGUGACCAUAUACAAUUUUGCUUCCUUGUAAACACUGGAAACUCCACAGCUCUCUUGCUUCCAGCUGAGGGGAAGAACACAAAGAGAAAACACAGAGACAUCAUGGUAAUGGUUGAGAAGUAGAGCUGGGACUGUGCAGUGCAAUCUGCAAAGUCGGCCCUCCAUCUGGACAGCCAGUGUUGUGCACCAAGACAGGUCUGUUUGGCUUGUGCAGCAUGAAGACACCCUGAAGCUGAGGCAAGUUCUCUGACGGUACCCUCUGGAGAACAACUACAAAAAUUGAAAUUUCUGUAAAGCUCUACCAAAUGCCUGCUUUCUUUGGUCGCAGCCUCCUCUUCCAUGCUCUGGAAUCCUUCUGGUCCAGCCCUCCAGGUACCAUGUCUGCUCCCUUCUUAGCCCAUAGAUGGGGAAACUGAGACACAAAUAGAACAAGUAAACUACUCCAAGUUCCACAGCGGGAAAAGUGGUAGAAGCACUUCUUAAGCCAGGGGCGUCUGGACCCAGAGCUUGUCUGCUCCAGCAUGAGGCAAUGUUGCCUUGUGAUAGUUUACGUUUCUCUGGUGUCGUUAACAAUGUAAGCAAUAUAAAUAGCUUCAUGUAAGAAUUGCAUCCUGUCCUUCUCUGGAAGAUUUUUCUUGAUGGCUCUGCCCAGGGCAGGAAAAUUUUUAUGGAUCUGGAUAUGUCAGUUCUGGGUGUUUAGUCCUGGGCUACUGGAUAGGCAUCAGGUGCAGAGAGAAGGUGCUGGCCCCAGAGAGGAUGCUCGUCUUUCUAGUUGUCCCUAGUGCCUUCUAUUGCUGGAAGUCCUCAAGUUCUCCAUGUGCAUGAGGAGGAUUCAAAUGGCAGCAUGCCACUUUUUCAGGUACAACAUUGCAUAAGGUUGUGUUGCCAAGGAGGCUGAUCAAUUAUGAUUUGUAUUGUAGACGUUGUUGAGGGGCAGGACACAAUUCCUGGGAAGGAGAAAUGUGAUA